AUUGAACGCUGGCGGCAGGCCUAACACAUGCAAGUCGAGCGGAGCGGGGGACGGGUGAGUGAUGGCUAGGAAUCUGCAUGGUAGUGGGGGAUAACGUCCGGUACCGGGCGCUAAUACUGCAUACUAUCAGAUGAGCCUAGGUCGGAUUAGCUAGUGGGUGGGGUAAAGGCCUACCAAGGCGACGAUCCGUAACUGGUCUGAGAGGAUGAGCAGUCACACUGGAACUGAGACACGUUCCAGACGCCUACGGGAGGCAGCAGUGGGGAAUAUUGGACAAUGGGCGAAAGCCUGAUCCAGCCAUGCCGCGUGUGUGAAGAAGGUCUUCGGAUUGUAAAGCACUUUAAGUUGGGAGGCGUUACCAACAGAAUAAGCACCGGCUAACUUCGUGCCAGCAGCCGCGGUAAUAC
rnacentral:rRNA from 1 species